GAUGAACGCUGGCGGCGUGCCUAAUACAUGCAAGUCGAGCGAACAGACAAGGAGCUUGCUCCUCUGACGUUAGCGGCGGACGGGUGAGUAACACGUGGAUAACCUACCUAUAAGACUGGGAUAACUUCGGGAAACCGGAGCUAAUACCGGAUAAUAUAUUGAACCGCAUGGUUCAAUAGUGAAAGACGGUUUUGCUGUCACUUAUAGAUGGAUCCGCGCCGCAUUAGCUAGUUGGUAAGGUAACGGCUUACCAAGGCAACGAUGCGUAGCCGACCUGAGAGGGUGAUCGGCCACACUGGAACUGAGACACGGUCCAGACUCCUACGGGAGGCAGCAGUAGGGAAUCUUCCGCAAUGGGCGAAAGCCUGACGGAGCAACGCCGCGUGAGUGAUGAAGGUCUUCGGAUCGUAAAACUCUGUUAUUAGGGAAGAACAAAUGUGUAAGUAACUAUGCACGUCUUGACGGUACCUAAUCAGAAAGCCACGGCUAACUACGU
rnacentral:rRNA from 1 species